UAGGGAAUCUUCGGCAAUUGACGAAAGUCUGACCGAGCAACGCCGCGUGAGUGAAGAAGGUUUUCGGAUCGUAAAACUCUGUUGCUAGAGAAGAACAAGGACGUUAGUAACUGAACGUCCCCUGACGGUAUCUAACCAGAAAGCCACGGCUAACUACGUGCCAGCAGCCGCGGUAAUACGUAGGUGGCAAGCGUUGUCCGGAUUUAUUGGGCGUAAAGCGAGCGCAGGCGGUUUCUUAAGUCUGAUGUGAAAGCCCCCGGCUCAACCGGGGAGGGUCAUUGGAAACUGGGAGACUUGAGUGCAGAAGAGGAGAGUGGAAUUCCAUGUGUAGCGGUGAAAUGCGUAGAUAUAUGGAGGAACACCAGUGGCGAAGGCGGCUCUCUGGUCUGUAACUGACGCUGAGGCUCGAAAGCGUGGGGAGCAAACAGG
rnacentral:rRNA from 1 species